rnacentral:rRNA from 1 species
CAGUCGCCGCGGUAAUACGUAGGGUGCGAGCGUUAAUCGGAAUUACUGGGCGUAAAGCGUGCGCAGGCGGUUGUGUAAGACAGGUGUGAAAUCCCCGGGCUUAACCUGGGAACUGCGCGUGUGACUGCACAGCUAGAGUAUGGCAGAGGGGGGUGGAAUUCCACGUGUAGCAGUGAAAUGCGUAGAGGUGUGGAGGAACACCGAUGGCGAAGGCAGCCCCCUGGGCCAAUACUGACGCUCAUGCACGAAAGCGUGGGGAGCAAACAGGAUUAGAUACCCGGGUAGUCCCUGUCUCUUAUAC